rnacentral:rRNA from 1 species
ACGACAUUCGCCACUUGGAUACCAGACUUUGAUCCUGGCUCAGGAUGAACGCUAGCUACCAGGCUUUAACACAUGCAGAGUCGAGGGGAAACGACAUCGAAAGCUUGCUUUUGAUGGGCGUCGACCGGCGGCACGGGUGAGUAACGCGUAUCCAACCUGCCCACCACUUGGGGAUAACCUUGCGAAAGUAAGACUAAUACCCAAUGACGUCUCUAGAAGACAUCUGAAAGAGAUUAAAGAUUUAUCCGGUGAUGGAUGGGGAUGCGUCUGAUUAGCUUGUUGGCGGGGUAACGGCCCACCCAAGGCAACGAUCAGUAGGGGUUCUGAGAGGAAGGUCCCCCACAUUGGAACUGAGACACGGUCCUAAACUCCUACGGGAGGCAGCAGUGAGGAAUAUUGGUCAAUGGACGAGAGUCUGAACCAGCCAAGUAGCGUGCAGGAUGACGGCCCUAUGGGUUGUAAACUGCUUUUAUAAGGGAAUAAAGUGAGUCUCGUGAGACUUUUUGCAUGUACCUUAUGAGUAAGGACCGGCUAAUUCCGUGCCAGCAGCCGCAGUAAUACGGAAGAGUCCGGGCGUUAUCCGGAUUUAUUGGGUUUAAAGGGAGCGUAGGCCGGAGAUUAAGCGUGUUGUGAAAUGUAGACGCUCAACGUCUGCACUGCAGCGCGAACUGGUUUCCUUGAGUACGCACAAAGUGGGCGGAAUUCGUGGUGUAGCGGUGAAAUGCUUAGAUAUCACGAAGAACUCCGAUUGCGAAGGCAGCUCAUUGGAGCGCAACUGACGCUGAAGCUCGAAAGUGCGGGUAUCGAACAGGAUUAGAUACCCUGGUAGUCCGCACGGUAAACGAUGGAUGCCCGCUGUUGGUCUGAAUAGGUCAGCGGCCAAGCGAUUGCAUUAAGCAUCCCACCUGGGGAGUACGCCGGCAACGUGCCUAUUCAAAUGAAUUGACGG